ACACAUAUAUAUAUAACUGUUUUAAUGAAUACUAACUUGAGCAUUAUGGUAGUAAUAGAUUACAUCUAUUCUAAAUUUUUCCCCAUUUUUUGUUCUGCAUCUGGAUUUUAAACUAAUGCCAUCAUGGCUUCUUUUUACAGAGCUGUGACCUAAAAAUGUAAUAAUAAUUGUUAAACAGUUAUCGUUUUAUAAAGUAAAUGGAAACUAUGAUGAAGGUAUACAAUUUGAACAAAAAUGAUUAAAAUAUUUUUUUUACAUAUAUGAUUUAAUUCUUAAAAUUAAAAAGAAGAUUUGUAAGGCAAAUCCACAGAACCAGUUUGUUAACAUAAGUCAGAUGUUUUUGUUGCCAUCUUCCUUACAAAGGUAUGUUGUUUUCUUAAGGCACUUAAGCUUCAUCCACCAAUAAAAGCUAACCAACACACACAAGAGACCAAAUGACACAGAAAGUUUUGUAUGUAGUUCUAAUAUGUGUUUAAUUUUUUGUACAUUAACUAGGCCGUUAGUUUUCUCGUUUGAAUUGUUUUACAUUGUUAAUUUUGGGGCCUUUUAUAGUUGACUAUGCUUUGCUCAUUGUUGUAGGCCGUACGUAGACCUAUAGCUGUUAGUUUCUGUGUCAUUUUUGUCUCUUGUGGAGAGUUGUCUCAUUUGCAAUCAUACACCAUCUUCUUUUUUAUAUGUCUACCGAAGAACUGACGUAUCUUAAUUUUCUAAUAAAUCAUCGUAAACUUCAUAUAUGUCAUCUCCCCAACCCCAACCCCACUUAAAAAAGAAAUCAAAUAGUUUUGCUUAUUUUUAACGUCCAGUGACUAAUAUUUCAUGGAUGCCGAACGGUUGAGGAAAACACGAGUUUAAAAGUCAUGUAUAUAAUAUCAAAAGAAGGAGAUGUGCUAUGAUUGCCAAUUAGGCUCCUGACUUGUGACAGACUGAAGCACAUAAAGAGUGUGACAAGGUUAAAUAUUUUUGUGAGCGCUCAGCCCUUCCCUAAACUUGGACAGUGAUGUAACAGUACAACAUAAGAACAAUCUGUAAAAAUCAGUUGCAAAUGGAUUAACUCAAAAGAUCGGUACGAGAAACAAGAACAAAAUUAACAACUAACAUUAAGACAAUAAACACAAAGCAUCGAAAUAAGAGUAUUUCCAAUAACUGAAAGCUUGUUCAAAGCCAAUUACAACUUACAAAUAAAUUAUGUUCUCCCUGACGAGAGAGGACAAUCAUUACAUAACCAACGGAUUUAGUCAGAAGCAGUCUGAGAAAUGCCACAACCUUGUAUAAUAUACAUAUACAAUUAAGGUUCUCGAAAAGUGGUGGUCCGAAGGUUUUGAUCAUCAAAAUUUUGCAAGGAACGGCACAUUUUUGGCAUUUGGCAAUAGAAUUAAUAGUUAGGACCAGCAGAUUUUCUUCAAGAACCACCAGGGAAGAAAGAUGGUGAGAACCGUCUGCGAUAUCUUUUAUAUACAACAAUAAUCUAGCUUUGUUACUUGAGAAAAAUUGAGGCAAGAUAUCAGUUUCGAUCAUAUACCAGACAAACAUUGACAAAUUCUUGUACAGUUUAAGAUUAUUGCUGAAAAUUAAAUGGUCGGAGCUUUAAGCCGGAUUUGUUGAGCUUAAUCAAGUUAGAAAAGCAUAAAGAAAAAAUGACACGAACACAUGCAGCGAUUUCUUCCAACUAAUUUUCUUUGUUUUUUCACUGAUAAUAUGAUUACAUCAAUGCCAAAACAGAGUCAUGUCUACCGAAUGACCUGACGUAACUAGAAAUUUUCUAAUAAAUCAUCGUAAACUUUGUCAUCCAACAUAAAAAAAAAAAUUCUGCAUAACUCCAGUAGAGGGCCAGGCUUAUUUAUUUGGACUCUUCACUAGAAGACAUUCUGGAGAUGUACAGAUGAGACCAAAUAAAACACGCCCCUGGUGACAAUAAAGAUCAAUUAAUUUCACUUGUUACUUGCACCUUCAGUUAGGUUCUUCCAAAGAGAAUAUGAUUUUUCCCUGUGAUUUUUAAAUCUUGCUACUCAUGUCUUUCUUUCAUAGGCAGAUCAAUCUAAUGAAUAUGCCCCCUGUAUGUCAUCCAUGUCACCAACGGUAGAGAACCAAGGCGAAAAUAUGGACAUAGAACAAUCAGAGAAUGAAGAAAUUAUCACAGACACGCCAAGACAAGUGUAUGCAAAUAGAUUUUUAUCUGGUAGAAACAUAUUUGCAUAUAUGUAAGAAAUUCAAAAGGCGGUGGAUGCAAUAAAUAAGAAAAUAGACUUCCAAAAAAAAUUUCAGGGUUGAAGGAAAAAUUAGAGUUGAACUGAGUACAGUUGCAAAGUCAGCAUUUGGUGUCGACAUAUUUGAUAUUUCUGGUGUUUUCAUUGAUGAACUAAAGCAGAUCGUGGUUAUAGAGAUGAACAGGUCAGCUACGCCUUACGAAAUAAGAAUGGCAAAACAAUUCAUGAAAAGGAAAUUUUCUAUGGAAUAUAGACCUAACAUGUACAGAAAUGUAAGAAUAAUUCAUAUGUGUUGUUUUGUACAAUUUCCUCAUAGUAAUC